GACGAACGCUGGCGGCGUGCUUAACACAUGCAAGUCGAACGGAAAGGCCCUGCUUUUGUGGGGUGCUCGAGUGGCGAACGGGUGAGUAUCACGUGAGUAACCUGCCCUUGACUUUGGGAUAACUUCAGGAAACUGGGGCUAAUACCGGAUAGGAGCUCCUGCUGCAUGGUGGGGGUUGGAAAGUUUCGGCGGUUGGGGAUGGACUCGCGGCUUAUCAGCUUGUUGGUGGGGUAGUGGCUUACCAAGGCUUUGACGGGUAGCCGGCCUGAGAGGGUGACCGGCCACAUUGGGACUGAGAUACGGCCCAGACUCCUACGGGAGGCAGCAGUGGGGAAUAUUGCACAAUGGGCGGAAGCCUGAUGCAGCAACGCCGCGUGCGGGAUGACGGCCUUCGGGUUGUAAACCGCUUUCGCCUGUGACGAAGCGUGAGUGACGGUAAUGGGUAAAGAAGCACCGGCUAACUACGUGC
rnacentral:rRNA from 1 species